rnacentral:rRNA from 1 species
UACGUAGGGUGCGAGCGUUGUCCGGAAUUACUGGGCGUAAAGAGCUCGUAGGCGGUUUGUCGCGUCGUCUGUGAAAUUCUGCAACUCAAUUGCAGGCGUGCAGGCGAUACGGGCAGACUUGAGUACUACAGGGGAGACUGGAAUUCCUGGUGUAGCGGUGAAAUGCGCAGAUAUCAGGAGGAACACCGGUGGCGAAGGCGGGUCUCUGGGUAGUAACUGACGCUGAGGAG